rnacentral:tRNA from 1 species
GGCUCUGUGGCGCAAUGGAUAGCGCAUUGGACUUCUAGGUGAAAGAAUCAGAGUCGCUCCUAUGAAACUAAAAGGAAAAAGGAAAAAAAAGCUCUGGACUUCUAGGUGGAAGAAGGAAUUCAAAGAUUGUGGGUUCAAAUCCCAUCAGAGUCG